UCCCUCUCUCUCUCUCUCUCGAUCUCUCUCUCUGCCUGCCCUCUCUCUCUCUCAAAACCCUAGCGCUCUCUCUCCAUCUCCUCUGCUCUCUGCUGCAGUUCAACCUUCUGUAGCUCCAUGGAUUCACCAAAACCCUAGAAGCGCCAUCUCCUCCCAUUGGCUCAUCUUCUCAAAUCCUAAGCCCGGCCAUGGAAACCUCUGGAUCUUCGUUGUGGCUGUCGUCAUCAUCCUUGCCGUAUUCUUCUAUCUUUCGACCGUCACAAGAGGCUCCGGAAAGAAAGGGUAUGGGAUCGUGAUUGAUGCCAGAAGCACCAGGAUGCGAAUCCAUGUUUUCAAGUUCUCGAUGAGAAGAGGAUUGCCCAUUCUGAAGUUUCGGUAUGGGGGAUCCACGACAAUGAAGCCAACUGAGAGUAUCACUAUUCUGUCUACCUACUAUUACGGUUGUUCAUUAGAAAGAUGCAGAAGUGCUGAAAGAUGCAAAGGCCUUGGUUGACGGAAAUUUGAGGGAUUCUCAUCUCGUUGGAUAUUCGGGUCCAUUUUCAUAAACAUGGAUGACACAUUUACUUCACAUGGGUUCAUUUGUUUCAAAGUUUAAAGAUCCUCGUGAUGCAUGUGCUGCAAUUGUUGCUGAAUCAUAUUGUCUUUUCUUCCAUGAUCCGGUUUACGAUUCUCAUUGUUCCUAUUUGGCUAGUCAUGCAUUUUAUUUUAAGUAACUAUUUUCAAUUCCAUGCCAAACAAGUGGGUCUCACAUUUCAGCAAUCUAUUUAUUGGGCUGUUGAGUCUCACCGUGGAUGGGGAAUGCCCAAAAAAUCUCUCACAUUGGAUCUUUUUCAGUUGAAUAUGGACCAUUGUUCAAUUUCUCUUCUUAACUGCUUCUAUAGGCUACAAAUUGGCAGAUUAAGAUUGCCCUAUCAGUGGGAUUUUUAAGGCAUAGUCCAAUUGCUGAUGGGUAAAAUUGAUCAAUGGUAUGGAUUCUGAUCCACACUACCCACUUGUCUGAGUUGAAAGCCUGUGUAUACCAUGUAAAGAUGCAUGCCACAUAUCCUGUAAUUCCUCAAUUAUGGAAGUUAGCUUAAUUGAUAUUAAAUUUGGAUAUGCAGGAACUGGGAUGCAGGAAGAUUCUUCAAAUGUCUAUUCAUUCAUGGUUUUAUAAAAGAAAUAUUUGUUUAAGAUGUAUUAUUGCUUCAAAUGGAUCAUAUUGUUUGGCACUAUAACUUUAUAUACAGUGCAUGUUUCAGCUUGUCAAGUGCAUAUAUCAGUCAGUUCAAACCAAAUAUGGUUAUAAUUUAUUUGGUCUUUUCUUGUAGAACCUAGUGGAGGAAAGCAUUUGGCCAAUGCUAGCUACAGACAGUUUAAAAGCUCUAGGUGGACUUGGCCUGCUUUCCCUUGGAGGAAAAUACCUACUCAGGCGUAUCUUUGAAGUUGGUAUCAUAUUCCUAAUAAUAACUUAGUCUACAGUCUUGGUUGUUGUUGCAUUCAUGGUUUUUGUAGAUAAUUCACAAUAAUCUCUUAUUUUUGUAGUUCCAUGUACAUGGACAGUAUGUGAAAUGCCUUCUUCCAUUCUUCUGUUAAUGGAUCAUGCAUUUGUAUGUCAGAGGUGGCCAGAGAUCAAAGGUUCUAGUGGAAUGGCUAGGCAGUUAUGUAUAUGUUGGUUAAGAGGAAUUGACAUCAUGUUGCAUGUAGAAUAUGUUGUGAAGCUUGGGGUGAAUGUUGAGAACUGCUGAACAGUAGGUAUUUUAUUACAGGAGUCCUGAGUAGGAGGUUUUUGGGUUGUUGGCUGUGGGAAUAUUAUGUUGGAUCUCUGUUUCUUAGAAGAUCUGGUUUGUGCUUGGUGGUAUCAUGGCUUUGUGGGGGCCUUUUUUCUGUUGCUAGUCAAGGAGUAGCUCUUGGUGUUUGUCCCAUGCUUGCUACAGGUUCUUAAUAUGCCUAUUUGAUGAAAUAAAAUGCCUUUCUUACAUGUUUUCUUCUACUUGCGGAUGUGGUAACGUCUUUUGAAUUCCACCCUACUCAGUGUAAGUAUGAAAUUCCACAGAAUUUAAUGGUAUCCGUGUUUGUUUACUUUUUAAUUGUCCUUACUAUAAAAUAUUGCACUUUCUUAGCAACUCACUGCAGUUCUGCUCUACUCCUUUAUUCACAGGGCACUUGAACUUAUAUUAGGAGUAAAUAAAUAUUCAACAACUAUUGACAGGUGGUCAUUGGGCUGUAGAAUGGCUGAACUGCAAAGGAACAAUUAUUCAAUGGGAAAACUGAAUUCGACCAGCUUGACAAGAUAUUUAGGACUCUCGGCACACCAAGUGAGAAGAUAUGGCUGGAAUUUGUCAAAUUGUCGGGUAUCAAGGUCAACUUCUUUAAGAAGCCAUAAGUGCUUAUUUC